rnacentral:rRNA from 1 species
UACGAACCGUCCAAACGUUAUUCGGAAUUACUGGGCUUAAAGGGUGCGUAGGCGGCCAUGUAAGUGAGGUGUGAAAUCCCUCGGCUCAACCGAGGAACUGCGCUUCAUACUGCAUGGCCUGAGGGAGACAGGGGUAAGCGGAACUGAUGGUGGAGCGGUGAAAUGCGUUGAUAUCAUCAGGAACACCGGUGGCGAAAGCGGCUUACUGGGUCUCUUCUGAGGCUGAGGUACGAAAGCUAGGGUAGCGAACGGG